CUUGUCGUGAAACUGCCGUCUUUAACUGCUGCUGCCACUACUCUUUGUCGUUCAACCGCCUUCAACUGGGCUCUUUGAAUCGUGGAAUAUGAUAAGGUUACUCAAUAACUGCUUCAAUAACUGCAUUUCUGGAUAACCAUAACAUUUUAUGUUUGCUAAAAAUCUUGGGCGAUUCGAAGGUAUGGGCGAGAACAGGGUCAUCGCUUUGGGCGACUGUAAGGCAUUCCAUUCGCUCAGACCUUGGGCGAUGAUUUUACCUUGUUCGUGGGCUUCCACUGCAUUCAUUAAUAACCUUUUCUGGGCCUUUAUCCUGAAUUGUCCAAUUGGACUUCAUUUUUUGGGCUAUUUGACUUGAAAAUUCCUCAGUUGGGUUUCAUUCCUUGGGCUAUUCGAUUUGGAUUGCACUUUUAGUGUGUCAACAGAUCUAUUUCUUUAUUUCCAAUCCCCUCUAUUUCUCUUGAUUCGGUUGGUGUGGUGUUGAUGGUUAAGGUGAAGAUGACGGAUUUGUGGUGAUGAUGUUGUCGACGAAGGCGGUGAUUGUUGCUAGGUUGCAGGUUUGGAGUUUUUUUGGUGGGUUUGUUGAGGUAGUUGAGCAUGAUGAUGGCG
rnacentral:lncRNA from 1 species